rnacentral:rRNA from 1 species
CCUACGGGCGGCAGCAGUGGGGAAUAUUGCACAAUGGGGGGAACCCUGAUGCAGCGACGCCGCGUGAGUGAAGAAGUAUUUCGGUAUGUAAAGCUUCAUCAGCAGGGAAGAAAAUGACGGUACCUGACUAAGAAGCCCCGUCUAACUACGUGACAGCAGCCGCGGUAAUACGGAGGGGGCAAGCGUUAUCCGGAUUUACUGGGUGUAAAGGGAGCGUAGGCGGUUAUGCAAGUCUGAAGUGAAAGCCCAAGGCUCAACCAUGGGACUGCUUUUGAAACUGUAAAACUGGAGUGCAGGAGAGGUAAGCGGAAUUCCUGGUGUAGCGGUGAAAUGCGUAGAUAUUAGGAAGAACUCCAGUGGCGAAGGCAGCUUACUAGACUGUAACUGACAUUGAGGCUCGAAGGCGUGGGGAGCAAACAGGAUUAGAUACCCGAGUAGUC